rnacentral:rRNA from 1 species
UACAGAGGUGGCAAGCGUUGUUCGGAAUUACUGGGCGUAAAGGGCGCGUAGGUGGCCUUCUUAGUCAGACGUGAAAUCCCCGGGCUUAACUCGGGAACUGCGUCUGAUACUGGAAGGCUGGAGUUCGGGAGAGGAAUGUGGAAUUCCAGGUGUAGCGGUGAAAUGCGUAGAUAUCUGGAGGAACACCGGUGGCGAAGGCGGCAUUCUGGACCGAAACUGACGCUGAGGCGCGAAAGCGUGGGGAGCAAACAGG